AUUGAACGCUGGCGGCAGGCCUAACACAUGCAAGUCGAGCGCGCGGCGGACGGGUGAGUAAUGUAUGGGGACUGCCUGAUAGAGGGGGAUAACUACUGGAAACGGUAGCUCAUACCGCAUACUAUCGGAUAACCCAUAUUGGAUUAGCUGGUUGGUGGGUUAAUGGCUCACCAAGGGGACGCUCCCUACCUUGUCUGGGAGGAUGAUCAGCCACACGGGGACUGAGACACGGCCCAGACUCCUACGGAGGCAGAAGUGGGGAAUAUUGCACAAUGGGCGAAAGCCUGAUGCAGCCAUGCCGCGUGUAUGAAGAAGUCCCUAGGGUUGUAAAGUACUUUCAGUCGGGAGGCGUUACCAACAGAAGAAGCACCGGCUAACUCCGUGCCAGCAGCCGCGGUAAUAC
rnacentral:rRNA from 1 species